rnacentral:lncRNA from 1 species
AUUGGUUCUCACAAAAGGGAAAUUUUUUUUGGCAUGGAAAUGUUUUUCUUUGCGAUCAUUCUCUCCCUCGUUGAAAAAAAACAAUUCUUCAACUUCUUCGAUAGAGAGAACUCGACUUCUCCGAUGGCUGAUUUUUGGGUUUAGUCAAAAUCUUCGAAGUCUCCGACAGAGAACUUGCAUCACCGCCGCCUGCAUGUCGUCCAAUCGUCCAAUCGCAUCAUCGGCGGAGAUUCUGCUUAGAUGGUUUCAUGAGAAAUUCAGAAGAUGAUUUCGACUUCUUCGACUUCUCAGAAUCCUUUCCUGAUCAAAAGGUAAUUUCGAUUCCAAAUCUAAACUUCUCUGUUUUAGAAAUGAAAUUUUCCAAUUGUAAAUUGAUUUGUGUAUAGAUUUUAUGGUUUGAUUUUCGGUGGAGAUUGAGUUUCUCCAAUGUACAUCAAAAAAGUUUAGGUUUUUUGCUGAGUUUCUACCCUCAACUUUAUCACUAUAAUAAUCAAGUAGAAACUCAUGUGGAUUUCUCUGAUAAUCAUGCUCUAAGGUCCGAGUAAUAUGUGCAUAUGGUCCAUCGUGCUCUUCCCUUUUAGGCUUUCCUCAAUGCAGUGUUAUAAUUGUCUCCAUAACAAUGAAUUUUUGUUUUUCUUAAUGUUUAUAUUGGAACAUCCAGACAUAUAGUUUAAGUUAGUUGAUAAAAAACGUUAUCUUAUCUAUUGAUUAAGGUUGUAUGUCCGCUAAAAAAAAUACAGAAGUAUAAUACACGGUCUCCUUCAUUUAUGACACUAUUCUCAAUUAGUUAAACCAUAGAACUUAAAUCACAGAAUAGAUAGUAUUAGACCUUUAAAUUUAUUGAAAAGAACAAAUAACAAUAGUAGGGAUCGUGUUAUAACAGCUUUUCUCUAAACAUAAAAUCCCAUUCCAAAUAAAAUUAGCUAUGAGAAAAACAAUUAUAGUUAGCUAGAAAAGAUCGAGUUCAUUGCUAUUGAAUCCUUGGAAGAAAAGUAUUUGAAACCACAUGUAUAUCAGUAUAUACAUAUAUCUAUGUAUGACAUGUCAUAUUCUCUUCAUUGACAACUUUCUCCACUCUCUUUUUAUUGCUUUAAAUUAUUAGUAGUUUUUUAUGGCCAUAUUGUUCUUUCACCACUUUAUAGAAACACUGGUCUCUCAAUUAAACAAAUGUGGUUGUUAUAAUAUCAUCACGUUUUUGCAGUGUUCAACACAGUUUUCAGUGAUCUACAGUAAAUUAGGUCCAAUGCAUAGCGUUUAAAAUAUGCAAUUAGUCCAACCAUUCACACUUUUAAGAGAAACACUAGCAAUAAUUAGCAUAGACAUUAGUCCAUCCUUACCAUGAUUGAAGGAAAAGACAAUUAAUAAGCAUCCACGAUUCAAACCAAAUACAUUCUAUGUUUUUUUCUUCUAUGUAUUGAGUUCUUUGUACCACGAUAUAUAUUCCAUCUUAUUUUGGGACCAUGCAAAGAAUGUUUAAUACAAUGCAUGAAUGUGUCACUUUCAUCUAAAUUCCAAAAUCAAUGUCAAAGACUCGAUGUAUUUACUAGCUAUAUUUUCUGCGGGGACAAAGACAUGUUACUUUAUACAUUACAUAAAACAUACUGAAUGUUUCAAUUUCGUUUUCAGGAGAAAAUAGCAGGAUUUAAGAUCGGAUUUAUUUCCUUCCAAAUCAAAAUGACACCAUAAAACUGGAAAUGAUAUGCUCUUGAAGCAAUAUUUGUUAUCACUUCUGUGUUACACAUUUACCUCUACAUACUUAAUGUAUUGGUAUAUCUAC